AGAAGAAUGUAUUUUAGGUAUAUUUGCAUUAUGCCCUGUACUAGAGGUGGUCUGAUACAGUAUACUGGCAUGCAUUUGAUAUCCAUUGACACUGCGAGAUACCUCCUUUAAAAGGCUCAAUUAGUAUGGUGGAAUUUGCAUUUUAAGAUUGUGUCUAUUAGUAUGUAAUGUAAUACUCCCACAUUAGAUAUCACAGUAAACAUGUUUGUUUUGAGCUCUUACCUUUAAGAUAAGCAUGUCUGAAAAACUGAUUUGCACAUGCAUUUGCGCAAAAUCCUGCACAUCACUGUCAACUUCAAAACCCAAUGAGUGCAUGUGCAGUGUAUACAAGUAUACUACAUGAAAGCAUCCUCCUACACAGGGACGCAUGAACACGCCCACAGAUGCAACGUGCCAGAGGGGGGGGCUGAAAGAUGCGUUUGUUAAGAUGACUUACAGUCAGAUAUAAUCUUCAUAACGUCAUAUCUUACACACUUUGGAACAGGCCUUCGUGUAUUUUGCGCCAGCCCAGUUUUAGCAGAGCUAGCUUCGCUUACAGCUGUGUCUGUCUGUCUGUCUGUCUGUCUGACCCAUAUUGCGCUGCCGCUCAUGGGUUAAUAAUUACUGCCGCAGGCUGAGAGUCUGGUCGAUCAUGAUGGGGCCAAGUCAACAGCCACUUAGCUAUUGAGGGGAUUUAGCUCUGUCAGUAGCACUCAAACACAUUCAUCAUUUAGGGUUUGAGGUGUCCUUCAUUCAGUAUUUGUGGGAUUUAACUCAGUUUCCAUGUUGUUGUUCAGGCAGUUGGACUCGGCUGUGUCUUAUGAAGCAGAUAGUUCCGGUACUCAGCUCCUAUUGGCCGAGUCACGUUCGAAACCGUUGAAAACCCCUUCCGUCCUUUUAAAUAUUACUGCGCUAAAUAAAACCAGUGGCACCUUGGCAAACAUGUACCAGUCGAACCAACCUGUCCGUCCGCAUACAGCGUGUUAAGCAUCGUGGUCGGCGACAAGAAGUCCCUGUUACGCAGAUUUUUAGCGCUGCUCUCCUUGAACCAAAGCUUCUCCGGAUCGGGGAAGAUCCUGUCGCCGUUUUCCCGGCUGGAAUCGGGGACAUUGUCACGCUUCCCCCGCAGUGCGGAGCUCAGCGCCCGGACGGUCGGAGUGAUCCGGAGGGGCGAAGACUCCUCGGUGUUCUCCAUCACCACCACAACACGGACAGGUGAGCUCGCUACCAGGCUAUCAGCGCAUCCACACCCCGCUGGUUGCUGCUCAUGCAGGCUGUGCUAGGCUCCAACACGGCCGGAUUACAUGCCAGUGUUCAGCCGGACGGGCAGUCACUGGUCGAUGUCAGAUAUCGGCUGCAGAGGAGGACUGCAUUGGAUGUUUUUUUUUUUUUUUUUCACAGCGGAACUAGUGAAGUGCAAUCCGUGUUUCUUCCGAGUUGAAUUUCCGUAUUGGACCUGUUCCUAAUAGCGCCACCGAGUGUGUGGUAGAGGUACUGCAAUCUUUACCGGGAUAUAUGGUCAAAAGUAUGUGGACACAUGCUGACUGUAAAAUGUGGCUUUAUAGUACCAAAUAAAUGGUGAAUAUUGUGCAAACGUUA